UUUCUAAUCAUAUCGGCAUCACUGGGUUUAAGGGUGCGUAGGCGGCGUUAUAAGUCAGAGGUGAAAGCUUGGACAAUUAAAAGGAAAAUUGCCUCUGAUACUGUAGUGCUUGCCUUCAAAGAAAAAGGAAA
rnacentral:rRNA from 1 species